CCUACGGGUGGCAGCAGUGAGGAAUAUUGGUCAAUGGACGAGAGUCUGAACCAGCCCAGUAGCGUGAAGGAUGACUGCCCUAUGGGUUGUAAACUUCUUUUAUAUGGGAAUAAAAUGUUCCACGUGUGGGAUUUUGUAUGUACCAUAUGAAUCAGUAUCGGCUAACUCCGUGCCAGCAGCCGCGGUAAUACGGAGGAUCCGAGCGUUAUCCGGAUUUAUUGGGGUUCAAGGGAGCGUAGGUGGAUUGGUAAGUCAGUUGUGAAAGUUUGCGGCUCAACCGUAAAAUUGCAGUUGAAACUGGCAGUCUUGAGUACAGGAGAGGUGGGCGGAAUUCGUGGUGUAGCGGUGAAAUGCUUAGAUAUCACGAAGAACUCCGAUUGCGAAGGCAGUUCACUGGACUGCAACUGACACUGAGGCUCGAAAGUGUGGGUAUCAAACAGGAUUAGAUACCCGAGUAGUC
rnacentral:rRNA from 1 species